CCAACCUCGUGGGUUUUCUCCGGGUCCUCCGGUUUCCUCCCACUGCUAAAGACCCCUACGCACAAGCGAAUUAUUGAAAUAAAAUUAAACCAUAUGUUAGUCCCGAAAUGACCUAGUUUGUGUCGAGUGGACGUUAAACCCCAUUUCUCUCUCUCUCACAUCAAACGGUUGGCAAGUUAUUGGAAUCAGGAAUGCUGUUUGGCAAUGAGACAGAUUGCACAACAGUUUGGUCACUAUCCCACAACAAUCAGUCGAUUAUAGCAGGAACAUAAAUAGACUAAUGCAAGAAAGGACUGGCAAAGCACAACUGAAUUUGAAUGAACUACACAAGUAAAAUAUUAAUGGUGGAAUAUAAGAUUUAUCUCCCUUGAAUUGAGAUAGGAAGCAGUUAUUGGCCCCACCCCCGCCUUUCAAAGAGAGCAGGGGACUAUUAAAAUGAGUUUGUCCGUCCGUCUGUCUGUCUCUCCGUAUCUAUGUCCCCCUGUUUGUCCAUUUGUCUUUCUGUCACACUUUUUGGGGCACAAUAACUCUCCUCCUUAUUGAGAUAGAAUGUUCAAACUUGGUGUAGUUGUUUAUAAGGUGAAUGCCUUGAUGGGGUCCGAAGAUAAGAAUUUUCUGUUUAGGGUAAACAUAGAUCAGCAAUUUGAUUGGCUGAUGCUUUGGGGCACGAUAACUUUACUUCUGAUUAAGUGAGAGUGAUCAAACUUGGUGUAUAGUUUCAUCACGUCAAUACCUUGACUAAGUUCGAUAAUGAACAUUUUCUGCUCAAGGUAAGCAGAGCGAUAAGCAAUUUAAUUGGUCGAGACUUUGGAACACAAUAAGCAAUCUGAUUGGUUGAUGCUUUGGGGCACGAUAACUUUCGUUAUAAUGAAGUGAGAGCAUUGAAACUGCAAAUAUAGAUUCAUUAUAUCAUUACCUUGACUAAGUUCUAUGAUGAUAAUUUUCUGCUUAGGCUAAGGAUCGAUAAGCAAUUUGAUUGGUCAAGACUUUGGAACAUAACAACCCUGCUUUUAAUAGAGGAAGACUGUUUAAACUUGAUGUUGAUGUUCAUUACGUGAAUGUCUUGACUGAGUUCAAUGACUCACAUAUCGCGCUAAAGCUAAGCAAAGCUAAGCAGGGAAUCGAAACCGCGUGUUGGACAGCAAUCACUAUACUACAUGAACGCUUGGAUAUCGCUAGUCAGUCAAUCAACCAGAUGAGUAUACAGGGCUGGUUGUAUAAUCUGAUGGACCAAAUUUGGGAGGCCCGAAGUUACAGGAUAUGAAUACAUUGCUGGAUAAUUAGGCCUAUAUUCAUUCAUAUUUAAAACUAUGCUUUACUUCAAAAUUAGUAAUUGAUUAAUACCUGAAAAUAGCCACACCUGUCAGUCCUGUUGUCAGAUUUCCUGAAAAAUAUUUAAGUUCGAGAGCUAUGGGACCCCUUUCUAGUGCGGGGCCCGAUUUGCGAAAUUGGUCAAAUAUGCUCCAAACCGGCCCUGCAAGUAUAUCUAUAUUAAUUUGAUAAUUUAAAUAUAAUGUGGACGGUUAAGAUAGGAUCACGUGACAAUGAUAAGAUAAUCCAAUGUAAAUAUGGGACAUUCAAUGAAUCAGACAUGGCGACUGUGUAUUUGUUACAACUUUUUGCCUUGUUGUUUUGUUUAAAUGGAGUUGUUCCUGAUUCCAGGGAAGUGAAAUACAUGAACACACUAUGUGGAGAAUUGGUCAUAGUAAAAAAUGCUGUCAGGUUUAUACUAGAACCAUAUAUGGUCAUGAAAAUGCCAGAAGAUUGUGAAGUCCAUAUACAAGCUUUUUCUGAUUAUUAUAUUUAUCAAGAUAAGAUCAACAUAGAGUUAUCUUUCCUUGGGUUAAAUAUAGCAUGUGAACAAGGCUCGGUAGAGAUUCUACAACUGGGUGAUUAUGAUGAUAAAUUAGCUUCAGCAAGUGGGGAUUCUAUUUGUGGUGACGAAAUUCCAGAACAAAUUUACCGAUCCACGGAAGAAACAAUAACAUUAAAAUUUCACAAAAUCUAUCCGCAAAUGUACACAGCUUCAUUUGAAAUAUUAGCCACAAAAAUAGAUAAGGGUGCUUGUUAUGAAGAUUAUGGUGGAUUCUUGUGCGACAACCAGGCGUGCGUUGAUCGAGAUGUACUGUGUGAUGAUUAUAACAACUGUCGUGACGGAUCGGACGAGUCAGAUAGUGAAUGUAUCGGGUUUUGGACCACGGCAGCGAUAUCUGGUGUUGUAGUCGGAUCAGUUGCCGGAGUUAUCGUUCUUGUUGUCGUGGUGAUUGUGUUUAGGAAAAUUAGAUAUGGCAGUGUGCGUUAAUAAGGGCUACACCCCAACCCCGAUUUUUGUGAAAUCUUCCAAGGACACUGGCUUUCAACAAGCAACAAUAUCUAUUAAGUAAAUUCCAUUCCAUUUUCGUAUAGAUUCUUUUUUUAAAUAUUUAUCCUAUAAUUUUUAUAUCAUUCUGGUUAAUUUUACCCCUAAAAAAACCCAUCCACAGUUACACAUCAUACACACCAGUCAACAAAACACACGCUAGUCACGAAAUUAGCAAAAUACACACGUUACCAAAAUACACACCAGUUACCAAAAUACACACCAGUUACCAAAAUAUAUACCAGUUACCAAAAUACACACCAGUUACCGGAAGUAUAACGCGACACUAGUCGUUUACACACACACACACUUUUCUAAUUGUUUUAAAACUAUAGACGUCAAUGCCUAGACAUCAGACGCCCUGAUAGACAACAGACGCCCUGAUAUCUAACAGUCUCUCUGAUGGACAACAGUCUCUCUGAUAGACAACAGUCUCUCUGAUAGACAACAGACUCCCUGAUAGACAACAGUCUCUCUGAUAGACAACAGACUCCCUGAUAGACAACAGUCUCUCUGAUAGACAACAGACUCCCUGAUAGACAACAGUCUCUCUGAUAGACAACAGUCUCUCUGAUAGACAACAGACUCCCUGAUAGACAACAGUCUCUCUGCUGGACAACAGUCUUUCUGAUAGACAACGGUCGCUCUGAUAGACAACAGUCUCUCUGAUAGACAACAGUAGACAUCAGACUCUGAUAGACAUCAGACUCUCUGUUAGACAUCAGUCUCUCUGAUAGACAACGGUACUUUUGAGAGACACCAUUAGUUCGCAUGGGCAUCAUUUAUAUGUGCGUGUAUUUAUCUCAUUUCGCGCAUCUUUUACAUUUUCCUCAUCAGUUUAUAAGCUCGUCUUACUUUGUUUUGUUUUGUAAAUAAAAACAUUACUUUUUAUUCAA